rnacentral:rRNA from 1 species
UUCCGGUUGAUCCCGCCGGACCUGACUGCUAUCGGAUUGAUACUAAGCCAUGUGAGUCAUUGUAGCAAUACAAGGCAGACGGCUCAGUAACACGUAGCCAACCUACCCUAUGGACGGGAAUAACCUCGGGAAACUGAGAAUAAUGCCCGAUAGAACAUUAUGCCUGGAAUGGUUUAUGUUCCAAAUGAUUUAUCGCCGUAGGAUGGGACUGCGGCCUAUCAGUUUGUUGGUGAGGUAAUGGCCCACCAAGACUAUUACAGGUACGGGCUCUGAGAGGAGUGGCCCGGAGAUGGGUACUGAGACACGGACCCAGGCCCUAUGGGGCGCAGCAGGCGAGAAAACUUUGCAAUGUGCGAAAGCACGACAAGGUUAAUCCGAGUGGUUUCUGCUAAAGGAACCUUUUGUUAGUCGUAGAACCACUAACGAAUAAGGGGUGGGCAAGUUCUGGUGUCAGCCGCCGCGGUAAAACCAGCACCUCAAGUGGUCAGGAUGAUUAUUGGGCCUAAAGCAUCCGUAGCCUGAUCUGUAAGUUUUCGGUUAAAUCUGUACGCUCAACGUACAGGCUGCCGGAAAUACUGCAAAUCUAGGGAGUGGGAGAGGUAGACGGUACUCGGGAGGAAGUGGUAAAAUGCUUUGAUCUCUCGAUGACCACCUGUGGCGAAGGCGGUCUACCAGAACACGUCCGACGGUGAGGGAUGAAAGCUGGGGGAGCAAACCGGAUUAGAUACCCGGGUAGUCCCAGCUGUAAACUAUGUAAACUCAGUGAUGCAUUGGCUUGUGGCCAAUGCAGUGUUGCAGGGAAGCCGUUAAGUUUACCGCCUGGGAAGUACGUACGCAAGUAUGAAACUUAAAGGAAUUGGCGGGGGAGCACCACAAGGGGUGAAGCCUGCGGUUCAAUUGGAGUCAACGCCG